UACGUAGGGUGCGAGCGUUGUCCGGAUUUAUUGGGCGUAAAGAGCUCGUAGGCGGUUUGUCGCGUCGGCCGUGAAAUCUCCACGCUUAACGUGGAGCGUGCGGUCGAUACGGGCAGACUAGAGUGCUGUAGGGGGAGACUGGAAUUCCUGGUGUAGCGGUGAAAUGCGCAGAUAUCAGGAGGAACACCGGUGGCGAAGGCGGGUCUCUGGGCAGUAACUGACGCUGAGGAGCGAAAGCGUGGGGAGCGAACAGG
rnacentral:rRNA from 1 species